UGUGUGUAUCUAGGUCAAUUAUAACACGGCAUUGUUCAGUGGCAGGAUAACAUGCGUGAAGAAUUAACCACGUAAUAUAGUGUAUUAAUAAUUUUAUCAAUGACUUGGGAGAUAACAUUUUGGUUUAAAUAUUUUUAUUUAUUUAAAUCGGAAAACAGAAAGAUAAUAUGAUUUUAACAACAACGCUAUUAUAUUUGUUUUGAAGUGACCUCUGAAUAUACUGUGUGUAUCUAGGUCAAUUAUAACACGGCAUUGUUCAGUGGCAGGAUAACAUGCGUGAAGAUUUAACCACGUGAUAUAGUGUAUUGAUAAUUUUAUCAAUGACUUGGGAGAGAACAUUUUGGUUUAAAUAUUUAUAUAUUUAAAUCGGAAAACAGAAAGAUAAUAUGAUUUUAA
rnacentral:lncRNA from 1 species